rnacentral:misc_RNA from 1 species
AGCAGUGCUGAAUGACACCCUUACUAAAGUCUGUCUCCGCCCCACUGACUACUAUUUACCAAAGAUAAACUAGUCAAUUUGUCAUUAAAUAUACAUUCAUUUUAGUGUCACAGGGUAUAUACAGCACAAGAGAUCAUUUGGGAACAUCACCUACCUGCUCCAAGAAUGACAACUUGUGCUCCUCCGCCAUCAAAAGAAGUACGUCUCCCCUGCAAGUAACUCAGCUAGUGGAUCAUGGAUCACAUGUUUCCAUAGCGCCCUUCCAGCUGCAGUUUGACAUGCUGAUUGUCUCAAAGAAUCCCAAUCAUGUUCGACAGCUGAAUGAACUUCUCUGAUGGUUUCAGUGUACAAAGAAUCAGGUAUGGAUAGUAAACCAACUUGCAAACGGGUAAAGGAGUAACUCGCCCCCAUUUCACUCCGUCAUCUCUAUACUCGUCUUAUCGAAUCAUCAGUUUUGGUACCAAUUAUCAUUGUGAUAUUUUGUUCAUGCACCUAACACCAUCAUCAAAGAGGAGGUACAUCUCA